AUGGACUCCUACUUGUCUCCCAGGUGGGAGCGGCGGGGUAUCAUCGGUGGGGGAUGCGCCGCUGGGUGUGUGACCCUCCCCAAGGUGCCCCCUCUGUCCAUCCUUCCUAGGGUGGGGUUGGGGCCCGCGUGGCAGUGCCCAGUGGGCACCCGCCCCGCCCAGGCCCCGCCUGAAGGGCCCAAACGGGCGCGCCCUGGAGGCCCAGCAAAGCAUCUCGGCGGCGAAGGCCCCUCCCUGUGGGGAGGGCAGGAAAUCUGCUGCCUCACCAGCUCGAAGCGCCAGCCUCGGGGUGCACCCCCUGCGCGAAGCCGCCCUGCCCCAGUGUCCCCUCACCGCCUCCACCGUGCACUUCAACCAAGUUUUGCAAAGGCGACCGGGCGGGCGACCCCAGCCGGGGGCGCGGGCUCCGUGUUCCCCCAGGCCCGGGAUCUGCAGAGGGGGUGCUGCGCGGCCGCGCCCACCGGGCCGGGCGCCCCCACCCCUGCCCACCCCUGCCCACCCCUGCGGCGCCUCCGGCCGCCCCCCCGCCGCUGCGCCGAGCCCGGGUGCCGGCGGUGCCCCGCGGAGGGAGGGCCCCGCUGCCCGGGAGCCCCCACGCCAGGCGCGUCCCCUCCUCGCCCGCGGGCGCCGGGGCAGUGGGGUGCGGCCGGGGCGGCCCUCGCCCUCGCCCUCGCCCGCGCCCGCGCCCCCGCGCCCGCCCCCCGCCCGCCAAUGCCCGCGGCGGCCGCCCCGCUGCAGCCCAGGCCCCGCCGCCUCCCGCGGCCCCCGCUCCUUUGUUGCCCGGCCAGCCGCCUCCCCGGGGGCCUCCGGCGGCUCCUACCUGGGCCCCCGCGGCGGGCGGCUCGCAGCCCGGCCUCCUCCUCCUCCGCUCCGGGCCGGGGCGCCGCGGGGGAGACGAUGCUGCGGCCCCUCCCGGCGCCGGGGCUCCGCGCUCGCGCUCCGGGCCGGGCCUGGCGUGCGGGCGGCGGCGGGGAGGCGGGCGGCGCGGACGGAGCAGCCCCAGCCCCAGCCAGCCCCAGCCCCAGCCCCAGCCCCAGCCCCAGCCCCAGCCGCCGCCGGCGCGCCCCGCGGCCGAGCCGAGCCGAGCCGAGCCGAGCCGAGCGGGAGCGGAGCGAGCGGCCCGGCUCCGGGAGGGAACAAAAGGGGCCGGCGCUGGGGCGGGCGCGGGAGGGCGGGGCCUGGCGCGGCGGGGGGCAGGCGCGCGCUCACUUGGCCUCGCGGUCCUCGGGCCGCCGCGCCGCGCUGCCAGCGGGCGGGCGGGCGGAAAACGCGGCCGCACCUCGACCUCCGCGCGGCCGUCAGCCCCGGGGCUCGGGGGGCGCCGGUGGUGCGGGGAGGGAAACGCGCGGCCGGGGGCGCGCACCCGCCACGCGCGAGGCCGUCCCACGCCCUGGGAGAGGUGGGGGCUCGGGAUGCUGGGCGGGGAGGGAUGCGGAGGCUCCUGGAGUUUCCGGGAAGGCUCCACAGAGGAGGUGA
rnacentral:lncRNA from 1 species